GUUUGCCGUAAAGCGCCUGGACUGCAGAGGAGACGUGGAUCUGCAGUUGACGAGGAGGAGGAGUAUCGAGUGAUCGGCGGAUACCUCCCGGCUUCGCAUCAAAGCCGAGGAAUCGCGACACAAAACAGCGGGGUGACCCGUUGUACAAAAGUUGCGAUAUGAUGCUAA
rfam:Thermoactinomyces sp. Gus2-1 c58, whole genome shotgun sequence.